ACACACGUUUUCAGCAGAACUCGCAAAGAUUAGAUUUGAGGGCGGCUAGCGACCACAGUAGAAUACUAACGAUACGUCAUCUCUGUGCUUCUUUGUCUACAAUUUUGGAAAAAGUGAUGACGCCAUCGCUCUUUCCCAAAUGUAGACAAAGCAAUACCGUGAUGACGUCAUAGAGAUUUUGUUGAUGUUACGAACGUUUGACUGUAUGUUCAUCAGAUGAUCAGUUGAUCUUGCUGUAUCUUCUUAAGUUACAGAUGCCUGUGAUGAUGGAUCUAGAUUUCAAGAGUUGGUUUUUUUUUGUUUUUUUUUUUUUUUUGUUUAUUGUUUAAUUUCGUUAUUCAGAUACGUUUCAAAGAGAAAAUAUAACCAAAAAGAAUGUAUACAACUAAAUAUCGUAAAGAACAAAAUUAUGAUAUUGACUCA